ensembl:lincRNA
AUGACUGUCACUUGUAGAACAAGCGUUUUAAACUUGGUGUGUCUUCUCUGUAUUUUCUCCCAUCUGAACAGCUGGAGGCAAAGGAUGCCAAGAUGGGAAAGCCACAUAAUGGAAGGAUCCUGGAUUUCAGAGCUGUCACUUGGAGGAGGGGCACCCAGUGAAGGUGUCUUAUCUAACCCACACCAUAUCUUCAUGAAGUGGCCAUAUGGAUUUGAUCCCUAUCCUUCAGAGGUGCUCAGCCUAAGGGAACACGGAUAGUAGAUUAAGCACUGACCAGGUAUAUCAAGUUCUCAACUCAGUAAAGAUGUCAAUUCUCCCCAAAUUAUUUUUAUAAAUAUAAUGCAAUCCCAAUCAAAUUCCAAACAAUGAUUUUGAAUGAGGAACCUGGCAAAACAUUUCUAAACUUCACGUGGAAGAAUAUCUACAUGCAAAUAAUGAAGACACACACACCCACACUUAUACGUAUUAGGAGCCAUGAUGUGAGUUAAAAGGGAAGGGAAGAGCUCAUAGACUCUUCUUCUCCCUCCUCUUCCUCUUCUCACUCAUCUCAGCCUCACUCUAGUCCCCCUCAAGUGAGGAACUUGGCAAAACAUUUAUAAACUUCAUGUGGGAGAAUAUCUAUGUGAAAAUAAUGAAGUGUGAGCCUGGUACUGGUACUGUGAGCCUGGAACUGAGAGUUUGGUAUACCUGGAGAAAAGGAUCUCUUCCAUGACAUCCUGCUCAUGCUGUUCCUCUGUGCAGAAAGCCUCUCCUGCAUUUCUUGAGGGAUGUUAGUGCAGUUAUUACUCCUGCUCAGCUGUCCUUCCUGGCAAGUCUGACUCUGCAGGGGACUUCUGCAGCAGCCUCCUAACUGGUCGCCCAGUGCUUCCUCUCACCUGCCUUCCAUCCCCAGCGUAGUCAUUAGGGGAGUGAUCUCUAAAACACAAAGCAGAUGAUGCCUCUUCCCUACCUAAGACAUCUAAUGGCCUCUGUUACCGAUUCAAGAAUCCAAACAUAUUUCAAAACUCACAGAGCUCCCUGUGAUCAGGUUCCUGCUUACCUCUGCGACCCCAUUUCCUGAACUUGUCCUUGCCAUUCAAAGACUUCAGCCACACUGGCUUUCUUUUGGCUCCUCAGCAUUCCAAGCCGGUCCUGCCUCUGGCUGUUGGCUUUUCCUAGGACACUCCUGCUCCAGAUGCUUCCAUGACUAGCUCCUUCUUGUCAUGUGGACACUGACUGCAUUUUUAAUUUAAUUUCGAUUUUGAGAGGGCUUUCCUGAACCUCAAUAUAAAUGGCACUCUUCAUACAUCUAGUCACCACCCAUCAGCUACUUUUUAAUAGGCUUUAUAGUGUCUGGUGUUUUUUCAUUUGCUCGUCUAUUAUCUAUUUCCCUCUCCCCCACCUCCCAGCACAUACUAGAAUGUCAAUGAGAGACUUUGUCUUGAUGGCUGCGAUUUCCCCAGCCCUACAUAGGCACUAAAUAAAUGUGUGAUGCAUCCCUGGAUGGUCUCAGUGAACCAUGUGCUGUAUCAAAUACAGAAUGCGGAAAACAGUCCUUAUCUUCAGAAAGCCUGCAGAGAUACUGUGAAAAUGACCUGCUCAGUUUUAGGAAAUCAUUUUGGGGUGUGUGUGUGUGUGUGUGUGUGUGUGUGUGUGUGUGUGUGUGUGUUUAAGAAGGGCUCUAUGGAGGUGACCCCAUUAGAAAUUAACUUUUAAGAAUAUAUUUUAACCAUUAGGGGUACCUCUUAAGAACAGGUUGUUAGUGAUAUAUUUUAAUUUUAUUUUGCAAUGUCUUUUGAAGACUUUGCUCUUGGUGAACUAGGCACUUUAGAGAGAUACCUAGAUGAAUUAUCUCCAUCCUUAAAGGAAAAUGCUUUUAGUGAGAUAAAGAGACUUAUAAAAACAUAACAAGGCAAUGGAUUGGAACAGUGCCAGAGAGGAUGCUCCUAUGUGGACCAGUUUUGGAGCACUGGAGUUAGGGCUCUACUUGUCCCAGCACUGUGGUGAACAGUCUUUGCUUUUUCAUAUAAAACCAUGGCCAGGCACAGUGGCUCAUACCUGUAAUCCCACCACUUUGGGAGGCCAAGGCGGGUGGACUGUUUGAGCUCAGGAGUUUGAGACCAGCCUGGGAAACCUGGCAAAACCCCAUCUCUACAAAAAAUUAGCUGGGUGCAUUACCUGUAGUCCCAGCUACUUGGGAGGCUGAAGUGGGAGGAUCACCUAAGCCUGAGGAGGUCAAAGCUGCAGUGAGCCGUGAUUGUGCCACUGCACUCCAGCCUAGGAAAUAAUAGAAUGAGACCUCAUUCCUCCCCGAAAAAAGAACAUAAUAGACCAUUACGAGCCUAUCACACUUUAAUUUAUUUAACCUCAUUUUGGGUGAAAUUAACAUUUUCCAUGUGAAAGAGGAAUUUUCUUCUAACUUCAGAAGCAAAUCUAGAGAAUGCAUGAGCCUUUCAAAGGUAAGUUCUAUGGUAUGCUUUAAAAACAAAUAUGGUGUAAAUGAGACUCAAAAGCUUUCCACCCACAUGGUAGUGGGCCACCCUGACUUGUCCCACCUCUAGUAGCUGAGACAAAAGGAGACCUGUAGCCCAGCCUGCUACAUGCAUGCUGUCUCUCACACGUCAGGUGACAUUUCUGUGCAGAGUAGCACCAGGGUGUGGCGGGGUCAGGCCUAUCUCCCUUCAGACCGUAAACUAUUUACCAGGCUUCCAUGUAAAUUAAAUUUAUAAAGAGCACUGAAUCUCCUCUGAAAUACAAAGACCCUCUGCUGAAUGAGUGUGGAGAUCCCAGAGCCAAGAUGUGGAGGAUGAGGAGUCAAAGACACAUGGAGAGAAACUCUUCUAGGUGGCAGGGAGGGUGUGUUAGCUCAGAACAUCAUCCAUGGGUGAGGUCUUUCAGAAGCCUAGUUAAUGUCAGUUUCACAAACAAAUAAAUGAGCCACAAUUUGAAUAGGAAUGAUAGAAAUGAUUUUUGCUUUCCUAGGAGAGAGAAUGAGGGUACAAUACUGGGCUCUUUGAAGACCGUAUAACCUCCUGGGGCUCUGGAUAUCCAUGGGGUACACCUUCUGAUCCUGGCCCACAGUAGCACUUCUUGAGUUCAUUUCAAGACCGUGGCCAUGAAGGCCUGAUAGGAAGGCCUGCUGUGUUGCCAUCACAAAGGGAAGAAAGUGGUCAUGCUUUGGCCUUUCUGGUCCACAAUUUCCCAUUCUGGGGUUCUGUGAAUCUAAAAUGCAGCUCCAGGCUCUGUGGGUUUAGUCCUCCCUCUUCUCUUCAGCAUCCCCUGAAGCUUGUCUGCUGAAGGCUGGAGAGCUGUUUCCCCACAUGGGUCUUCGGGGGUGUGGGCAGGGUCUGGGGCCUCUUGUUUCCACCCAUUUUUUCUCCCUGCUCCUGGACUGUCAUACUUCUCAUUACUAUUCUGUCAGGCUGCAGCUAAGUUAGGAGUUCACAGGAAGGGGAGGUCUAUGGGAAGGCCUCAGUUAGUAGCAGUCUGUACCUUGUCACCGCAGGCCAAGACUUUAGGCAUAAUUUUCCACUAGACUGUGUUUAUUCUUUUAAAAACCUACCUCGAAAGUUGUCACCAGAAAAAAAUCACUCUAAUGCAAUCAUGUUAAAGAGAUGAAUAAUAUGCUUUUUCUAAGUACUGCUUUUUAUUAAAUCACUCUAAUGAAAUGAGUUUCUAAGUCAAUGUUUCAGCCAUGGCCAUCUUUAUUUAGCCUUUCUCUUUACUCAUUGGACUCAGAGCCAGCCUUGACAAUGUGCUGUUGGCAACCUAGAACAUAAGCAGAGGAGUAUACAGGACGCGAACUUGAUGGUCUCGGGAAAAUGGACAACAUGACUCAGGUAGGUCUGGAGAGAACAACUCGGUGGUACAACAGCAGGUGUUAAGGUGUGGAUCAAAUCCCCCCAGUCAAGCUAGUUUUUGAUAUUCACUCAAGAAUCUAUCCAAGGAUGGCUUAUGAAUGUGGUUAAAUUUGGGGGAUAAAAAGGAAAGACAUAGGGCCCAGAAAGGGAUGAACAAGUAUGACGUGGGGUCUUAUGGCCCCAGUCAAUGGAUUGGGUUGAGGAUGUAGCUUCUGGUCCCAGAACAGGAGUCCUCAACAGGUGAAGCAAAUAGAAUUAAGGCUUCUUCCCCCUAAGGUUAAGGUCUUAGGCAAAUACCCAAUCCCAAGGUGAAGCCAACACAGUAGGCAGAUUCACUAUAAUGUUAUAGCUACUCAAACUCCAGUAUCUUGCUCACUAAACUUGAGACCCA